rnacentral:rRNA from 1 species
AUUGAACGCUGGCGGCAUGCCUUACACAUGCAAGUCGAACGGCAGCACGGGUGCUUGCACCUGGUGGCGAGUGGCGAACGGGUGAGUAAUACAUCGGAACAUGUCCUGUAGUGGGGGAUAGCCCGGCGAAAGCCGGAUUAAUACCGCAUACGAUCUACGGAUGAAAGCGGGGGACCUUCGGGCCUCGCGCUAUAGGGUUGGCCGAUGGCUGAUUAGCUAGUUGGCGGGGUAAAGGCCUACCAAGGCGACGAUCAGUAGCUGGUCUGAGAGGACGACCAGCCACACUGGGACUGAGACACGGCCCAGACUCCUACGGGAGGCAGCAGUGGGGAAUUUUGGACAAUGGGCGAAAGCCUGAUCCAGCAAUGCCGCGUGUGUGAAGAAGGCCUUCGGGUUGUAAAGCACUUUUGUCCGGAAAGAAAUCCUUGGCUCUAAUACAGUCGGGGGAUGACGGUACCGGAAGAAUAAGCACCGGCUAACUACGUG